AGAGUUUGAUUAUGGCUCAGGAUGAACGCUGGCGGCGUGCUUAACACAUGCAAGUCGAACGAAGCUCUUGGACGGAGGAUUCGUCUGAAGUGAUAAGAUGACUUAGUGGCGGACGGGUGAGUAACGCGUGGGGAAUCUGCCCCCGUACCGGGGGAUAACACUUAGAAAUAGGUGCUAAUACCGCAUAAGCGCACGGUGUCGCAUGACACAGUGUGAAAAACUCCGGUGGUACGGGAUGAUCCCGCGUCUGAUUAGCCAGUUGGCAGGGUAACGGCCUACCAAAGCGACGAUCAGUAGCCGGCCUGAGAGGGUGAACGGCCACAUUGGGACUGAGACACGGCCCAAACUCCUACGGGAGGCAGCAGUGGGGAAUAUUGCACAAUGGGGGAAACCCUGAUGCAGCGACGCCGCGUGAGUGAAGAAGUAUCUCGGUAUGUAAAGCUCUAUCAGCAGGGAAGAAAAUGACGGUACCUGACUAAGAAGCCCCGGCUAACUACGUGCCAGCAGCGGC
rnacentral:rRNA from 1 species